CCCAGAAAAAUAUACACUAAACAAAUCAGAAGAGAUCUGAAACCAAGGGAAAAGAAAGGGAAAGGAAGAAAAAAAGAAAAAGAAAAAAGAAAAAGAAAAAGAUAUAAAAAAAGAAUAUGAUCAAAUAUUAUCAGGCUGAUGAAUAGAUCAGUGCCACGCACUAGAUUUUGGGUGUAUUUUGGUCUGUUAGAAGAAACUCCCUCCCAAAAUUUUAAAGAAAGAAAAGCUUAUAUAUGUACAAAAAUAAGGGUAAAUACGAUGAAGGGAUGGAAUAUGACUGUAAAGAUGUAAAUUAUAAAAGAUUUUAUAAAAGCAAUUGAUAAGAUAAGAAGUUGGUUGAAAAAAGAAAGAAGAGAAAUUUAAAAAAAUUAAAAAGGGAGAGAAUGUGAUCAGGCAGGAGACUAGAGCAAAGCCUUACACUAGAGAUUUAGGGUAUAUUUUGGUUUGUUAGAAGAAACUGUAUCUCAAAAUUUUAAAGAGAGAACAACUUAUAUAUAUACCAAAAAUAAGGGUAACUACUAUGAAGGGAUAGAAUAUGACUCUAAAAAUGAAAAAUAAAAAAGAUUUUUUAAAAAAGGGAUUGAUAAGAUGUUGGUUGAAAAAGGGAAAAAGAAAAAUAAGAAAAAAUUAACUUUGAAAGACUGAAGAAUCGGGGGGAAAAGCCAUGAAUUCUAUGUGCUGUAUUCCCCUAGGGCUGGAGUUCUGCCGUUGUCAUUGAUCUGUAAACUUGGCCUUGGCUGGCUGUUCUUGCUGAUCUUCUGGGGGAGGGGCCUGUUGCUGCGGUUCUCAAAUGUCUUUGCUGGAGGCGGAAUUGCCCUGCCUUUGCCGGUCCGGGCUAAGUAAUCUGCUCGGGUUUGCUCUCGGGAGCUUUUGUUCCCUGCAAGCUUUCCGUACAGCUUUGGAGGCCGAGAGUGAAAAUGGCAGCCUCCCAAUCUCCACCCAGAGGAGCUGAGUACUUGGGGCCCCACUCCUCAGUGAGCCCCCAGAGAAAAGCAGUCAAUCACUCCCGUCUGCCCGGUCUCUGGCCGCACUCCGUGCUCUCCUGGCCUAUGACCGAGCGUUUCUAUCUCUGGCACAUGACGCCGUCUGGAGUCUCCAAACCCAGCAGAUCCCUGUGGACAUCCUCCCUCUCCCCUGGGAUGUUGGGGAAAAGGCACAGGAGGGCUGGUGGUGGCCUGCCGUGGCUUGUGAGAGUUUCUGAAUUAGACACAUAUUAAUGCAGGGCUUGAACUC